rnacentral:rRNA from 1 species
CCUACGGGCGGCAGCAGUGGGGAAUAUUGGACAAUGGGGGGAACCCUGAUCCAGCCAUGCCGCGUGUGUGAAGAAGGCCCUCGGGUUGUAAAGCACUUUCAGUGAGGAAGAACGCCUGGUGGUUAAUACCCAUCAGGAAAGACAUCACUCACAGAAGAAGCACCGGCUAACUCCGUGCCAUCAGCCGCGGUAAUACGGAGGGUGCGAGCGUUAAUCGGAAUUACUGGGCGUAAAGCGCGCGUAGGUGGCUUGAUAAGCCGGUUGUGAAAGCCCCGGGCUCAACCUGGGAACGGCAUCCGGAACUGUCAAGCUAGAGUGCAGGAGAGGAAGGUAGAAUUCCCGGUGUAGCGGUGAAAUGCGUAGAGAUCGGGAGGAAUACCAGUGGCGAAGGCGGCCUUCUGGACUGACACUGACACUGAGGUGCGAAAGCGUGGGUAGCAAACAGGAUUAGAUACCCUAGUAGUC